rnacentral:rRNA from 1 species
CCUACGGGUGGCAGCAGUGAGGAAUAUUGGUCAAUGGGCGCGAGCCUGAACCAGCCAAGUAGCGUGAAGGAUGACUGCCCUACGGGUUGUAAACUUCUUUUAUAAAGGAAUAAAGUGCGGCACGUGUGCCUCUUUGUAUGGACUUUAUGAAUAAGGAUCGGCUAACUCCGUGCCAGCCGCCGCGGUAAUACGGAGGGGUCGAGCGUUAUCCGGAUUUUUUGGGUUUAAAGGGAGGGUAAAUGGGUUGUUAAGUCAGUUGUGAAAGUUUGCGGCUCAACCGGAAAAGUGCAAUUGAUACUGGCAGCCUUGAGUGCAGUUGAGGUAGGCGGAAUUCGUGGUGUAGCGGUGAAAUGCUUAGAUAUCACGAAGAACUCCGAUUGCGAAGGCAGCUUACUAAACUGCCACUGACAUUGAUGCUCGAAAGUGUGGGUAUCAAACAGGAUUAGAUACCCUGGUAGUC